rnacentral:rRNA from 1 species
GACGAACGCUGGCGGCGUGCUUAACACAUGCAAGUCGAGCGGAAAGGCCUUUCGGGGUACUCGAGCGGCGAACGGGUGAGUAACACGUGAGUAAUCUGCCCUUGGCUUUGGGAUAACUACCGGAGACGGUGGCUAAUACCGGAUACUACCAAUCACUGCAUGUUGUGUUGGUGGCAAGGUUUUUCGGCCAGGGAUGUGGUCGCGGCCUAUCAGCUUGUUGGUGGGGUAAUGGCCUACCAAGGCUUCGACGGGUAGCCGGCCUGAGAGGGUGACCGGCCACACUGGGACUGAGACACGGCCCAGACUCCUACGGGAGGCAGCAGUGGGGAAUAUUGGACAAUGGGCGGAAGCCUGAUCCAGCAACGCCGCGUGAGGGAUGACGGCCUUCGGGUUGUAAACCUCUUUCAGUACCGACGAAGCGCCGAUGAUGGUGGUGACGGUAGGUACAGAAGAAGCACCGGCCAACUACGUGCCAGCCGCCGCUGUAACAC